AACCUGCCCAUAAGACUGGGAUAACUCCGGGAAACCGGGGCUAAUACCGGAUAACAUUUUGAACCGCAUGGUUCGAAAUUGAAAGGCGGCUUCGGCUGUCACUUAUGGAUGGACCCGCGUCGCAUUAGCUAGUUGGUGAGGUAACGGCUCACCAAGGCAACGAUGCGUAGCCGACCUGAGAGGGUGAUCGGCCACACUGGGACUGAGACACGGCCCAGACUCCUACGGGAGGCAGCAGUAGGGAAUCUUCCGCAAUGGACGAAAGUCUGACGGAGCAACGCCGCGUGAGUGAUGAAGGCUUUCGGGUCGUAAAACUCUGUUGUUAGGGAAGAACAAGUGCUAGUUGAAUAAGCUGGCACCUUGUUUUUUACCUAACCAGAAAGCCACGGCUAACUACGUGCCAGCAGCCGCGGUAAUACGUAGGUGGCAAGCGUUAUCCGGAAUUAUUGGGCGUAAAGCGCGCGCAGGUGGUUUCUUAAGUCUGAUGUGAAAGCCCACGGCUCAACCGUGGAGGGUCAUUGGAAACUGGGAGACUUGAGUGCAGAAGAGGAAAGUGGAAUUCCAUGUGUAGCGGUGAAUGCGUAGAGAUAUGGAGGAACACCAGUGGCGAAGCGACUUUCUGGUCUGUAACUGACACUGAGGCGCGAAA
rnacentral:rRNA from 1 species